AUAUAUGACCUUGGAAAGUUGGAUUAACAUCCAUUAAAGGCUGAUGAACUAGGAAGAGAAAACAUCCCGUCAUCUCUGUACUUGUGAUGCCUGAGAAGGAGCAAGUAUUUCACGAAUGUUUGUGGAGUAAAGAAAAAUUAUCAAGUCCUUUGAGAAAUGACUGCAGGAGAGGUAGGAGCAAUCGUUACUUUCUCCUGGGAGCCUGGAAGCUGCCUUGCCCCCACACUUCCCCUGUGUACUCCUCUUCACUUCUCACUGUGAAAAGGCAAAAUAAAAUGGAGAAGGAAAAGUGGAUGAGUGGAAGGUAAAAGGUCAAAGGUGAGUUACAAUUGAGUCUUCAGAGUUCAGCAGUUAGUGAAGUAAAGAGAAAAAGAGAAUGUACCAGUCCACCACAGAAGACCCCAGGAAACCCACAGCAGCCUUUGGGUCUAGCCUUUUGGACUGAAGCCCCAUGGAGGUAAAACUUCAGGUUCAAACCCAGAGUGGAGUGGAGGAGGGAAACUCAAUUCAUGGGAGCCCGGUGAGAGUGGAUUGUAUUAGCUGGAAUCAACAUUUCUGAGGAAACACAUUGUUUGGAGCUUGAGUCCGUUUAUCGAUGAAGAGAUUUAUGAUUUGAUAUUUUUAAAAGCUUUGCUUUAUUUCCUCCUUUGAAAUCUCAGGAUAGCUCUUCAACCCUCCAUUUUUAUUUCAAGGAACCUAAUAAUUUGUUUCCUUCCAAUGCAAUGUGAAUAUUUAUGUAUUUUGAAAGUACUGGAAAUAUAAGCAUGUGAUGUGAUUUGAAUUCAUUUUUCAGGAUAUUAAACUAGAUUUCACUUAAUAAUUGUUUGAUUUCCUAACAGUUUUAGACUUACAGAAUUAAGAACUACUGCAUAAAGUUCCCAUGCAUUUCAUUCCCAGUUUCCCUAUUAUUAUCGUCUUAUAUGAAUGACUAUGUAUAUAAGUACAUCUGUCAUAGUCAAUGAACCAACACUGAGACAUUAUUAUUAACUAAAGUCUGUACUUUAUUCAGGUUUCCCCAGUUUUUUCCUAAUGUUCUUGUUGUGUUCUAGGGUUCCACUUACACUUAACCAUCAUUUUUCCACGGGCUCCUUUGAAUUAGGCCAACUUCUCCGCUUCCCUUGCUUUUGAUGACCCUGACAGUUUUUAGGAAUACUGGUCAAAUAUUUUGUAGAAUUAUCCUCAGUUGGGAUUUUUCUAAUGUUUUGUUUUGGGUUCUUUUU
rnacentral:lncRNA from 10 species